rnacentral:lncRNA from 1 species
GUGAUGUAAAAUUGUUUUUAACUUUUUUUUUUUUACUUAUACAUGUAAAAAAUUAUAUAACAAGGAAAUUUAUAAAAAUGUAUAUAUUUCUAAGUAAUUUCAUAUAAAAUUUACAUGCCAAUUAAAUUAUUUUUUACGGAAUUUAAUGAUUUGUACUAGAAUUGGUUUUUUACUGUUUUUGUACAUAUAUGCUUAGAAAUGUAUGAAUCCAUAAGUAAUGGGGUGGCAGUGGCAAGAGUACCAUCACAACAGAUACUGAAUCUGUUUCUUCGACCCCACCAAAUUCCGUAGCCAGCUAAGCUGAGACAAUUGCAUUUAUAGAGCUGAUGAGAUGACUUUAAACAACUAGCCUAGGUACUAAUUAAAUCACCCUAUUUGCAUGGUCCCCCAUUGGAUCAUACAUCAUGAUGAACUCCAUCAACCAUGAACCACCAAACAGAAAACUCCAUCAAACCACGAAUGGGAGAAAAAAGGGUGCGUGUGAAGAUGGGGGUAUUAAGGACUAGUCAUGGUCAAUGCAUGGGACUGAGUGGCUCGUAUUCCUAAGUCAUCCCCUCCAACAAAAGUCAGUAAUCAUUGCCUUUUUCUCUUUAUCUUCAGCUGCAUGCAUGCAUGCAUGGGAUGGGAUGGGAUGGGAAGCCGCUGGCUCUUCUUUCCCCCAUCUCUGCUACUAUAUAGUGACACUUCUUUUAUCCACACUGCACACACAACCAUACUCUUUCGUGGACCUUUGUGGUAACGGCGUCCUGGGUUGAGUUGAUACAAAUACUAAACUUUGGGUUUGCUAAAUGAUUGAGUGGCUAGGCCUAAGCCACCACAAACACUCCUUCUAUUGUUGUGUGGACAUAUAAGCCACUACCUUUUAUAAAAAUAUACAUUGGGUUUCAAAGUAGUUCCCCAUGUCAAAAACCCUUAUAGUGAUUCGCUAUGAUUCACCCUGUGGGCGGAGAACCAUGAGUGUCUAGGUGAUUAUGGAUGAUUGGGGUACAAGACCCUUCAAAGAUAGGAGCACGUGAGAGGAAAGAAGAUAGUUCAAAGUAAGGGUAUAGAGGGAGAAGAGGGAGAGAGUGAGGGGGAGAGAGAGAGAUUCUCAUUCCUUACACUUGUGUUGUAGGUCCUUUUUAAGACUUCAUGUGUCAUUUCCAUAGUAGUUUUAUACUAUUUAGAGCUUAAUCAACAUACUGAUGUCUUUUUCAUGUAGGUAUAAAUUAGCAUAUUAAGACAACUGAUGAAUGUAAUGAAUGAACGAAUGAAGUUGAGGGCUCGUAAGGUUUUGGCCUCACAGUUGCCCUUAAUUCCCCAAAUAACAUUUUAGUCAAAAGUGUUGUGCGGCGAAAUUGGUAGGGCGUGAGAUCAGCCAGGUAAGUAUAAGAAUAUAUAUUAUUUAGAAUGAGAUUACGGCCUGGAAUAGCAUGAAACAGAACCACAAAAACAGCUCCGACAAAAGGAUUCUCUAUAUUGAAUGGAAAGCUGAUGCUGCCAUGUCUGUUAACUUUGUAUAUAUGUCAGGCAACCAAUUAUGAUGUUGACUCAUUUCUUGUGCAAAUCCAAAUGCAUAUAUAAUAAUAAUAUCAUCAUCCAAUGACAUUAGAGCAUAGGAUAAAAGGGAGUGAAUUACUG